AGGGCACCACCAGGAGUGGAGCCUGCGGCUUAAUUUGACUCAACACGGGAAAUCUCACCAGGCCCGGACAAUAAAAGGAUUGACAGAUUGAGAGCUCUUUCUUGAUUUAUUGGGUGGUGGUGCAUGGCCGUUCUUAGUUGGCGGAGCGAUUUGUCUGGUUAAUUCCGAUAACGAACGAGACUCUGGCCUACUAACUAGACGUCGGAUCUCUUUGUGGUUGCAUCCCAGCUUCUGAGAUGGACGGGCGGCGUUUAGCCGCACCAGAAUGAGCAAUAACAGGUCUGUGAUGCCCUUAGAUGUUCUGGGCUGCACGCGCGCUACACUGACUGAAUCAGCGUGCGUACCCUGCCUGAACAGGGUGGGAAACCCGUUGAACCUCCUUCGUGAUGGGGAUUGGGGAGUGCAAUGAUUCCCCAUGAACCAAGAAUUCCCUGUAGGAGCGAGUCAUAAGCUUGCGUUGAUUACAUCACUGCCCUUUGCUCACUCCGCCCGUCUCUACUACCGAUCGAGUGAAUUGAU
rnacentral:rRNA from 1 species